AGUGAACGCUGGCGGUAGGCCUAACACAUGCAAGUCGAACGGCAGCACAAGAGAGCUUGCUCUCUGGGUGGCGAGUGGCGGACGGGUGAGGAAUGCAUCGGAAUCUGCCCAUUUGUGGGGGAUAGCCUCGGGAAACCGGGACUAAUACCGCAUACGACCUACGGGUGAAAGCAGGGGAUCUUCGGACCUUGCGCAGAUGGAUGAGCCGAUGCCGGAUUAGCUAGUUGGAGGGGUAAAGGCCCACCAAGGCGACGAUCCGUAGCUGGUCUGAGAGGAUGAUCAGCCACACUGGGACUGAGACACGGCCCAGACUCCUACGGGAGGCAGCAGUGGGGAAUAUUGGACAAUGGGCGCAAGCCUGAUCCAGCCAUGCCGCGUGUGUGAAGAAGGCCUUCGGGUUGUAAAGCACUUUUGUUGGGAAAGAAAAGCAGCCGGUUAAUACCCGGUUGUCAUGACGGUACCCAAAGAAUAAGCACCGGCUAACUUCGUG
rnacentral:rRNA from 1 species